rnacentral:rRNA from 1 species
UACGUAGGGUGCAAGCGUUGUCCGGAAUUAUUGGGCGUAAAGAGCGUGUAGGCGGCUAUGCAGGUCCGCUGUGAAAACUCGAGGCUCAACCUCGAGACGCCGGUUGAAACCAUCUGGCUAGAGUCCGGAAGAGGAGUGUGGAAUUCCCGGUGUAGCGGUGAAAUGCGCAGAUAUCGGGAAGAACACCCGUGGCGAAGGCGGCACUCUGGGACGGUACUGACGCUGAGACGCGAAAGCGUGGGGAGCGAACAGG